rnacentral:lncRNA from 1 species
GCUAUACGGUCUGCCACCAGUGCACAGGUGGACUAUGGACGAGUUCCAUAGUGAUAUGGCUUGGCCUCAGGUGCAGGCACAAGGUAGUGGGUUUGGAGCAGCUGGAGCACUAGGUGGAGAUGAGGAUGACCAGGAGGAUGAUUUUGAUGAUGCAGUGGCUGGAGAUGAGGAUGACUCAAAUGAGGACAUGGACUGAGAGGGUAUCUACUGAUGGAUGUCAGUACUUAGACAAGGAUUUUUCUUUUCCUUUUGAACUUUGGAUAUUUAGAGUAGGUUGAACUUUAUUUUUAUGCGUCUAUGCUUGACUUGUACACUGAUUCUGAUGAUGGUUUGAUGUGAUGAUAAUGCAUGAUGAGUCUAUUUGAUGAUGAUUGGAUGUGGAUGAUGAUUAAGUUGUAUUGCAUGUUGAUAUCCAGG